GUGGGGAAUAUUGCGCAAUGGGGGAAACCCUGACGCAGCGACGCCGCGUGGGUGAUGAAGGCCUUCGGGUCGUAAAGCCCUGUCGUAGGGGAAGAACCGGUGGGCGGCUAAUACCCGUUCGCCUUGACGGUACCCUACAAGAAAGCACCGGCUAACUCCGUGCCAGCAGCCGCGGUAAUACGGAGGGUGCGAGCGUUGUUCGGAAUUACUGGGCGUAAAGCGCGUGCAGGCGGCCGACUAAGUCCGGUGUGAAAGCCCGGGGCUCACCCCCGGAAGUGCGCUGGAAACUGGUCGGCUAGAGUACGGGAGAGGGAAGUGGAAUUCCUGGUGUAGCGGUGAAAUGCGUAGAUAUCAGGAGGAACACCAGCGGCGAAGGCGGCUUCCUGGACCGAUACUGACGCUGAGACGCGAAAGCGUGGGGAGCAAACAGGAUUAGAUACCCCUGUAGUCC
rnacentral:rRNA from 1 species